GCUGGUUUCAUUGUAUUUUCUUUCUGCAUUCCAGACCCCAGUAAUUGUAACAAAAUGAACACCUGAAACAACGACAGAAUUGACAGAAACCUCAUACCGGCUCUAGUGCUCCGAUGUAGGUCUGUUCCAGUGCCGUCUGACAGGGCAGGUGUUUCUCAUGGAGGGGGAGGUGCUGUACAAGGCUGUCCAAUGGGACGAGAAUCUCCUGCAUUCUACAGGCCGGACUCAUGCAGGAGCCCUGUUCAGACCCUCAGGGGUCUGUCCGUCAGCUACACCGCCCACACUGUGACAUUCCCUCUGGAGAUGGUCUUGGUUCCCUGUCUGUGGCCCACGUGACUGGUGACAGUGUGGAGGUUUUAUCGCCGCUGAGGGUGACUGACACACACACAGUGGUAAACACCAGCAACCUCUCCUUAUGGGGCCUUGUCAGCUAGUACAUACGGGAAGCUCUGCUCUCGAUCAAGGGGCAGGUGUUGCCUUUCCGAUCGCUCCAAUCAGUUAUCAAUGUGAUCGUCCUGCCAUCAUGUGCCACUUGAACAGGUUGAAGCGGCAACAGACAGGGAACACUUGCGUACAGCUCUGUUCGGGCUGCAUCCUCACUCGAGGGGAAACAUACA